ACAUAUAUAUUUUUUCAGCACGAUGCAUUGAAUUCGUAUUGCAUGUAAGACUGUAAGUGACACAUAAUAUAUAUCUAUAGAAAUAAAAUUUAGGGCUUAUCUAAGAUCUCUAAAUAGUAGAAGCUAAAAAUGAUCGUACAUCUCAACGCAAGUGGCAAAAAACUUUGAUAGUUGGAAGGCUCAAGAAAUCUAGUUAUUUUAUAUUUUUUACUAAGUGCAUUUUUUCUAAAAAAAGAAUGAAAAUGGAG
rnacentral:lncRNA from 1 species